CCUACGGGAGGCAGCAGUGGGGAAUAUUGCACAAUGGGGGAAACCCUGAUGCAGCGACGCCGCGUGAGUGAUGAAGUAUUUCGGUAUGUAAAGCUCUAUCAGCAGGGAAGAUAAUGACGGUACCUGACUAAGAAGCUCCGGCUAAAUACGUGCCAGCAGCCGCGGUAAUACGUAUGGAGCAAGCGUUAUCCGGAUUUACUGGGUGUAAAGGGAGCGCAGGCGGCAGGGCAAGUCUGAUGUGAAAGUCGGGGGCUCAACCCCGGGACUGCAUUGGAAACUGUCCGGCUUGAGUGCAGGAGAGGUAAGUGGCAUUCCUAGUGUAGCGGUGAAAUGCGUAGAUAUUAGGAGGAACACCAGUGGCGAAGGCGGCUUACUGGACUGUAACUGACGUUGAGGCUCGAAAGCGUGGGGAGCAAACAGGAUUAGAUACCCUUGUAGUC
rnacentral:rRNA from 1 species